rnacentral:rRNA from 1 species
GACGGAGGGUGCUAGCGUUGUUCGGAAUUACUGGGCGUAAAGGGCGCGUAGGCGGCCUGGGAAGUCGGCUUGUGAAAGCCCGGGGCUCAACCCCGGAGGUGCGGCCGAUACUCUCUGGCUGGAGGCCGGAAGAGGAGGGUGGAAUACCCAGUGUAGAGGUGAAAUUCGUAGAUAUUGGGUGGAACACCGGUGGCGAAAGCGGCUCUCUGGUCCGGACCUGACGCUGAGGCGCGAAAGCGUGGGAGCAAACAGG